rnacentral:rRNA from 1 species
GUGACUGCGUACCUUUUGUAUAAUGGGUCAGCGACUUAUAUUCUGUAGCAAGGUUAACCGUAUAGGGGAGCCGGAGGGAAACCGAGUCUUAAUUGGGCGUUAAGUUGCAGGGUAUAGACCCGAAACCCGGUGAUCUAGCCAUGGGCAGGUUGAAGGUUGGGUAACACUAACUGGAGGACCGAACCGACUAAUGUUGAAAAAUUAGCGGAUGACCUGUGGCUGGGGGUGAAAGGCCAAUCAAACCGGGAGAUAGCUGGUUCUCCCCGAAAGCUAUUUAGGUAGCGCCUCGUGAAUUCAUCUCCGGGGGUAGAGCACUGUUUCGGCUAGGGGGCCAUCCCGGCUUACCAACCCGAUGCAAACUGCGAAUACCGGAGAAUGUUAUCACGGGAGACACACGGCGGGUGCUAACGUCCGUCGUGAAGAGGGAAACAACCCAGACCGCCAGCUAAGGUCCCAAAGUCAUGGUUAAGUGGGAAACGAUGUGGGAAGGCCCAGACAGCCAGGAUGUUGGCUUAGAAGCAGCCAUCAUUUAAAGAAAGCGUAAUAGCUCACUGGUCGAGUCGGCCUGCGCGGAAGAUGUAACGGGGCUAAACCAUGCACCGAAGCUGCGGCAGCGAACGUAUCACCCAAGACAACUUUACGGAGUUGACGAUUGACGGAGCGAAGCGACGUCAAAGCGUUCAUUAAAGUCGAGUUGGCUUAGGGAUACGUUCGUUGGGUAGGGGAGCGUUCUGUAAGCCUGUGAAGGUGUGUCGUGAGGCAUGCUGGAGGUAUCAGAAGUGCGAAUGCUGACAU